CCUACGGGUGGCAGCAGUGAGGAAUAUUGGUCAAUGGGCGCGAGCCUGAACCAGCCAAGUCGCGUGAGGGAAGACGGUCCUAUGGAUUGUAAACCUCUUUUGUCGGGGAGCAAAAGACGCCACGCGUGGCGUUCCGAGAGUACCCGAAGAAAAAGCAUCGGCUAACUCCGUGCCAGCAGCCGCGGUAAUACGGAGGAUGCGAGCGUUAUCCGGAUUUAUUGGGUUUAAAGGGUGCGCAGGGGGAAGAUAAAUUCAGCGGUAAAAUUGGGAGGCUCAACCUCUUCGAGCCGUUGAAACUGGUGUUCUUGAGUGAGCGAGAAGUAUGCGGAAUGCGUGGUGGAGCGGUGAAAUGCAUAGAUAUCACGCAGAACUCCGAUUGCGAAGGCAGCAUACCGGCGCUCAACUGACGCUGAUGCACGAAAGUGUGGGUAUCGAACAGGAUUAGAUACCCUGGUAGUC
rnacentral:rRNA from 1 species